ACCAUCCUUCUCUUGGGGUUGAGCUACUGACCAAUGAACGUCUUAGUGAGGACAGUACUGCUAACACCACUGACAACACAUAAGUACCACUAGUGAGCAAUCAUUAGAAAGGUGCAAUUUUUGGCACC